GGACAAGUGAAGAGUAGGACUGACCAAAUGAAACGGAAGAAAACUUUCCAUGGAUUUUUAAAUAAUCACUUCCAAAGACUUCUGAGAGU